UACGUAGGAGGCAAGCGUUGUCCGGAAUCACUGGGCGUAAAGCGCGUGUAGGUGGUGGGACAAGUCUGCUGUGAAAGCGCCUGGCUUAACCGGGCGAGGUCGGCGGAAACUGUUCGACUCGAGGACGGUAGAGGGGGGUGGAAUUCCCGGUGUAGUGGUGAAAUGCGUAGAGAUCGGGAGGAACACCUGUGGCGAAGGCGGGCCCCUGGGCCGGACCUGACACUGAGACGCGAAGGCGUGGGGAGCGAACGGG
rnacentral:rRNA from 1 species